rnacentral:rRNA from 1 species
CAAUAGCGUAUAUUAAAGUUGUUGCAGUUAAAAAGCUCGUAGUUGAAUUUUUGCUUGCCACCGAUGUCGGAACUUCCGUACGUUCGGCGGCGUGCAUCCUUGGGUGGAACCUGUGUGGCAUUAGGUUGUCGUGCAGGGGAUGCUCAUCGUUUACUGUGAAAAAAUUAGAGUGUUCAAAGCAGGCUUACGCCGUUGAAUAUAUUAGCAUGGAAUAAUAAGAUAGGACCUUGGUACUAUUUUGUUGGUUUGCGCACCGAGGUAAUGAUUAACAGGGACAGUUGGGGGUAUUCGUAUUCCAUUGUCAGAGGUGAAAUUCUUGGAUUUCUGGAAGACGAACUACUGCGAAAGCAUUUACCAAGGAUGUUUUCAUUAA